rnacentral:rRNA from 1 species
CACCGAAGUCCAKUGCUUGUGCAUUAGGACAAUGUGGUGUUGAAGCUUGUGCCUGGAGCCGCGAACCUACCCGAAGUCCAACUCCGAUUGUGGCUUUGGAUUUUGCCCAUAGCGGGUGAUAGGCCCGUACGGGUAGGUUCUUAGUUUGUAGCGGUUCUCAGAUGCGCUUGCUUUCGAGUCGGAUUGCUUGAGAAUGCAGUCCAAAGUGGGUGGUAAACUCCAUCCAAGGCUAAAUACUGGCACGAGUCCGAUAGUAGACAAGUACCGUGAGGGAAAGUUGAAAAGUACUCUGAAGAGAGAGUAAAUAGUACGUGAAGCCGGUUGCAGAGAAGCUGGUGGAGUCAAGCUUCAUGCUUGGAGGAUUUGUGGCUGUGACUUUGUGCAUGGACACCUGGCUAGUCAACUUGGAAAGGGUUGAGCGCAUUCGUGUGCUUCAAGUCAGACUGGGUUGCUUGUUUGAAUUGACCGGGUUGUUCAGUCACAGUCAUUCUAUUCUCCGUUGCAUAAACCAUGGUCGGUAGUACUUUGCCCACGUGCUGUGCGGUCACCUAACUGUGCUUUGGUAGGCUUCAUGCUUGCUGGGUGCAGGAUGGCAGGUGGUGAUUUAGAGCCUUGUGUUCUAGGUCUCUUAUAGUGGUUUUGACCAGCUGGUGAUCGCAUAGUAUCGUUACUACCGUUGUUAUUUAUUGCCUAGUCUUGCGACUUGCAAUANUGAGAACCAUGGUUCUGAGGUANACCNUCCACCCGACCCGUCUUGAAC